rnacentral:rRNA from 1 species
GAUGAACGCUGGCGGUAUGCUUAACACAUGCAAGCCGAACGGACUCUUCGGAGUUGGUGCCGGACGGGUGAGUAACGCGUGAGAAUCUGGCUUUGGGUUCGGGACAACCACUGGGAACGCUGGCUAAUACCGGCUGUGACAAGACGUACAAGCGAAAUUGCCUGGAGAUGAGGUCGCGUCUGAUUAGCUAGCUGGUGAGGUAAAGGCGCAGCAAGGCAGCGAUCAGUAGCUGGUCUGAGAGGAGGACCAGCCACACUGGGACUGAGACACGGCCCAGACUCAUAUGGGAGGAAGGAGUGGGGAAUUUUCCGCAAUGGGCGAAAGUCUGACGGAGCAAUACGGCGUGAGGGAAGCAGGCUGUUGGGUUGUAAAGCUCUUUGCUUAGGGAAGAAUAAAAUGACGGUACCUAAGGAAUCAGCAUCGGCUAACUCCGUG